rnacentral:rRNA from 1 species
UGGGGGAAGGGCCUUAAAACAUGCAGUCGAGCGGUAACAGAGAGUAGCUUGCUACUUUGCUGACGAGCGGCGGACGGGUGAGUAAUGCUUGGGAAUAUGCCUUAUGGUGGGGGACAACAGUUGGAAACGACUGCUAAUACCGCAUAACGUCUACGGACCAAAGGGGGGGAUCUUCGGACCUCUCGCCAUUUGAUUAGCCCAAGUGAGAUUAGCUAGUUGGUAAGGUAAAGGCUUACCAAGGCGACGAUCUCUAGCUGGUUUGAGAGGAUGAUCAGCCACACUGGGACUGAGACACGGCCCAGACUCCUACGGGAGGCAGCAGUGGGGAAUAUUGCACAAUGGGCGAAAGCCUGAUGCAGCCAUGCCGCGUGUGUGAAGAAGGCCUUCGGGUUGUAAAGCACUUUCAGUUGUGAGGAAAGGGGUGUAGUUAAUAGCUGCAUCCUGUGACGUUAGCAACAGAAGAAGCACCGGCUAACUUCGUGCCAGCAGCCGCGGUAAC